rnacentral:tRNA from 1 species
GCCCUCAUAGUUAAAUGGAUAUAACAGUCCCCUCCUAAGGGACAGUUAUAGGUUCGAUUCCUAUUGAGGGUGCCA